AAAAGGGGGAAAAAUUUGGACCAUUUCUCGAUUUGUACGUGUCAUCCUUGCGCAGGGGCCAUGCUAAUCUUCUCUGUAUCGUUCCAAUUUUAUCGGAUGUCCCCGACUGUAACAGCCCAGACCACCCACUAGCACGA